rnacentral:rRNA from 1 species
CCUACGGGUGGCAGCAGUGAGGAAUAUUGGUCAAUGGACGAGCGUCUGAACCAGCCAAGUAGCGUGAAGGAUGACUGCCCUAUGGGUUGUAAACUUCUUUUAUAUGGGAAUAAAAUGUUCCACGUGUGGGAUUUUGUAUGUACCAUAUGAAUAAGGAUCGGCUAACUCCGGGCCAGCAGCCGGGGUAAUACGGAGGUACCGAGCGUUAUCCGGAUUUAUUGGGUUUAAAGGGAGCGUAGGUGGAUGGUUAAGUCAGUUGUGAAAGUUUGCGGCUCAACCGUAAAAUUGCAGUUGAAACUGGCAGUCUUGAGUACAGUAGAGGUGAGCGGAAUUCGUGGUGUAGCGGUGAAAUGCUUAGAUAUCACGAAGAACUCCGAUUGCGAAGGCAGUUCACUGGACUGCAACUGACACUGAGGCUCGAAAGUGUGGGUAUCAAACAGGAUUAGAUACCCUGGUAGUC